ACAUGCAAGUCGAGGGGCAGCGCGAGUAGCAAUACUUGGCGGCGACCGGCGCAAGGGUGCGUAACGCGUGAGCAACAUGCCCGUAUCAGGGGGGAUAAUCCAGGGAAACUUGGUCUAAUACCCCAUAGUAAUUUUGUAAGGCAUCUUAUAAGAUUUUAAAGCUUUGGUGGAUACGGAUUGGCUCGCGUGACAUUAGGCUGGAUGGUAAGGUAACGGCUUACCAUGGCUAUGAUGUCUAGGGGUUCUGAGAGGAAGGUCCCCCACACUGGAACUGAGACACGGUCCAGACUCCUACGGGAGGCAGCAGUGAGGAAUAUUGGACAAUGGAUGGAAAUCUGAUCCAGCCAUGCCGCGUGAAAAGGAAGAAGGUCCUAUGGAUUGUAAACUUCUUUUGUAUGGGAGCAAUAAGGCCUACGAGUAGGUUGAUGAGAGUACCAUACGAAUAAGCACCGGCUAACUCCGUGCCAGCCGCCGC
rnacentral:rRNA from 1 species